AUUCCAGCUCCAAUAGCGUAUAUUAAAGUUGUUGCAGUUAAAAAGCUCGUAGUUGGAUCUCGGGUCCAGGCUGGCGGUCCGACGCCUGUCGGUUACUGCCUGCUCCUGACCUACCUCCCGGUUUUUUCGCCCUUGGUGCUCUUGACUGAGUGUCUCGGGUGGCCGGAACGUUUACUUUGAAAAAAUUAGAGUGUUCAAAGCAGGCAAUAUCGCCUGAAUAAUGGUGCAUGGAAUAAUGGAAUAGGACCUCGGUUCUAUUUUGCUGGUUUUCGGAGCUCGAGGUAAUGAUUAAGAGGGACUGACGGGGGCAUUCGCAUUACGGUGUUAGAGGUGAAAUUCUUGGAUCGCCGUAAGACGAACUACUGCGAAAGCAUUUGCCAAGCACGUUUUCAUCG
rnacentral:rRNA from 1 species